AACGGAAAGGCCCUGCUUGCAGGGUACUCGAGUGGCGAACGGGUGAGUAACACGUGGGUGAUCUGCCCUGCACUUCGGGAUAAGCCUGGGAAACUGGGUCUAAUACCGGAUAGGAGCCAUUUUUAGUGUGAUGGUUGGAAAGUUUUUUCGGUGUAGGAUGAGCUCGCGGCCUAUCAGCUUGUUGGUGGGGUAAUGGCCUACCAAGGCGGCGACGGGUAGCCGGCCUGAGAGGGUGGACGGCCACAUUGGGACUGAGAUACGGCCCAGACUCCUACGGGAGGCAGCAGUGGGGAAUAUUGCACAAUGGGCGCAAGCCUGAUGCAGCGACGCCGCGUGGGGGAUGACGGCCUUCGGGUUGUAAACUCCUUUCGCCAGGGACGAAGCUUUUUGUGACGGUACCUAGAUAAGAAGCACCGGCUAACUACGUGCCAGCAGCCGCGGUAAUACGUAGGGUGCGAGCGUUGUCCGGAAUUACUGGGCGUAAAGGGCUCGUAGGUGGUUUGUCGCGUCGUCUGUGAAAUUCCGGGGCUUAACUCCGGGCGUGCAGGCGAUACGGGCAUAACUUGAGUACUGUAGGGGUAACUGGAAUUCCUGGUGUAGCGGUGAAAUGCGCAGAUAUCAGGAGGAACACCGAUGGCGAAGGCAGGUUACUGGGCAGUUACUGACGCUGAGGAGCGAAAGCAUGGG
rnacentral:rRNA from 1 species